UGCGCUUAUUAUGAAUUUCUUUGGUGAUGUGUACAGGACUUGCUGAAUGGGGGUUUUCUUGAACUUCCUUAAUUCUAUUGGGCCUGCGGGUUCAAUUUUGCUGGGUAUGCAAUUUGGCUACUGCUUUCACCUCCUCCUCAGUGGGAAUUAUUACAAUAGAAAAGAUUCGGACAAGUCCAAGAUUGGGCAUGACAACCUUCUGGCUGCUGGUCCUCGCAGAAGGCUGUAGAAAAUUACUAGUGGAUCUUGCCAUGCACCAGAAUGAAUGGGUGAAUGAACUGGAUUAGUAUAUUAUCGUAUUGUUAACUCUAAACGAUGCUAGUUUUAGUGGCUGCUUGUAUAAUUAACCUCUUAGCUAAUAUUGGAUUUUAAUGCUGUGGUGAGAAUUUACUCUGUGGCAAGAAUUGUUCUGGUGAGACUUUUUUGUGGCAUUGAAGCUCCCUUUUGGCGUCAUUUACCAGAGUCCGCUUAGAAUCACA